CCAUUGGGUUUCGGCCAAUCAAAUCUCGGAACUGUUUCAAGUUUCGCAGUAGGACACGCGUACUCCUCUGAUCUUGGACACGAUUGCUGCCGCUAUGAUUAUCGCUUCACCUCCGGUAAAGCCUUUGCCCUUAGAUGAAAAAAAAAAAAAAAGAAAAAAAAGAAUAGAAAGAUAAAAUAAAAUCCGAAGAUAAGAUAAAACAAAGAGAGAGAAAGAGAGAGAAGGGUUUGUUAGGUUUUUUUAAUUUUUUUGGAAGGAGGAAUGGAGGGCGGAGAUCAAUGGAGGAUGCUAAAAUGCGCUGGGGGUGUACAAGAUAAGACGAUAAUCAACCGGAUAAUGCUCAGAUUCAGGCCGAUUGCUCCAAAACCGGUGACCGGAGACUCAGCUUCCGGUGAGUCGACGUUUGGUAACAAGAACUCGGGUGUUACAAGCAUGAGAGUGAAGAGAAAAUACGUUAGG
rnacentral:lncRNA from 1 species